CGAAAGUGUUGUCAGGCGGACAGACAGACCGCGUGCUUGCACGCAGAGCUGUCUGUACAUCUGACAACCAAGCCAGCAUGAGUAAGCAGGGCGACAGCCCGGAUUACGAAUGCUGGCGGAGAUUGCGGGAGCACGCAGUGCGGAGCAAUCUCCUUUCG
rfam:Clostridiales sp. SS3/4 draft genome.